rnacentral:rRNA from 1 species
AGAGUUUGAUCCUGGCUCAGAAUCAACGCUGGCGGCGUGCCUAACACAUGCAAGUCGAACGCGAAAGCCCGCAAGGGUAAGUAGAGUGGCGCACGGGUGAGUAACACGUGGACAACCUGCCUUCGAGUGGGGAAUAACCUUCCGAAAGGAGGGCUAAUACCGCAUAACACCUCGGGACACAAGUUCUGGGGUUGAAAAGAGCAAUUUGCUCGAAGAGGGGUCCGCGCCUGAUUAGCUAGUUGGUGAGGUAACGGCUCACCAAGGCUUCGAUCAGUAGCCGUCCUGAGAGGGAGCACGGCCACACUGGAACUGAGACACGGUCCAGACUCCUACGGGAGGCAGCAGUGGGGAAUUUUUGGCAAUGGGCGAAAGCCUGACCAAGCAACGCCGCGUGGGUGAUGAAGUAUCUUGGUACGUAAAACCCUUUCGGCAGGGACGAAAAAAAUGACGGUACCACUAAAGAGC